UGUGGGAGCUGGCUUGCCUGCGAUGCGAACGACGCGGUGUAUCAGAGACACCGUGGUGAUGCCAUCGCAGGCAAGCCAGCUCCCACA
rnacentral:misc_RNA from 1 species